GUAGGCUCCUGCGCCUUCCCAGUGGUGUGCUCCACUGGCUGCCUGCAUCCUGGGGCUCAAGUGCUGUCAGGACUGCAAGGGAAAUGCUGGGUGGGGCACUGGGCUCCGAGCAGCCCCCGAUGGGUGACAGGUCUCUCUGCUAGAUACCACGAGGAACCCGAGGCCCGGCGAGGAGAACGGCAAAGGGAGGUGAUGCAGCGUGACAUAGCAGCCGGCGACUUCAUCGAGCAUGCCGAGUUCUCGGGGAACCUGUAUGGCACGAGCAAGGUGGCGGUGCAGGCUGUGCAGGCCAUGAACCGCAUCUGUGUGCUGGACGUGGACCUGCAGGGUGUGCGGAACAUCAAGGCCACCGAUCUGCAGCCCAUCUACAUCUCUGUGCAGCCACCUUCACUGCAUGUGCUGGUGUGUGCUGGGCAGGGUUGGGGGCUGGGGGCCAGGGCAUGCCAGGCUCUGAUUGCCACCCCCUUUUUAGGAGCAGCGGCUGCGGCAGCGCAACACUGAAACGGAGGAGAGCCUGGUGAAGCGGCUGGCUGCUGCCCAGGCCGACAUGGAGAGCAGCAAGGAGCCCGGCCUGUUUGAUGUGGUCAUCAUUAACGACAGCCUGGACCAGGCCUACGCAGAGCUGAAGGAGGCGCUCUCUGAGGAAAUCAAGAAAGCUCAAAGGACCGGCGCCUGAGGCUUGCUGUCUGUUCUUGGCACCCCG
rnacentral:sRNA from 1 species